rnacentral:rRNA from 1 species
ACGAACGCUGGCGGCACGCUUAACACAUGCAAGUCGAACGAGAGAAGAGAAGCUUGCUUUUCUGAUCUAGUGGCGGACGGGUGAGUAACACGUGAGCAAUCUGCCUUUCAGAGGGGGAUACCGAUUGGAAACGAUCGUUAAUACCGCAUAAUAUAAUUGAACCGCAUGAUUUGAUUAUCAAAGAUUUAUCGCUGAAAGAUGAGCUCGCGUCUGAUUAGCUAGUUGGUAAGGUAACGGCUUACCAAGGCGACGAUCAGUAGCCGGACUGAGAGGUUGAUCGGCCACAUUGGGACUGAGACACGGCCCAGACUCCUACGGGAGGCAGCAGUGGGGAAUAUUGCACAAUGGAGGAAACUCUGAUGCAGCGAUGCCGCGUGAGGGAAGAAGGUUUUAGGAUUGUAAACCUCUGUCUUCAGGGACGAAAAAUGACGGUACCUGAGGAGGAAGCUCCGGCUAACUACGUGCCAGCAGCCGCGGUAAUACGUAGGGAGCGAGCGUUGUCCGGAAUUACUGGGUGUAAAGGGAGCGUAGGCGGGAUCGCAAGUCAGAUGUGAAAACUAUGGGCUUAACCCAUAAACUGCAUUUGAAACUGUGGUUCUUGAGUGAAGUAGAGGUAAGCGGAAUUCCUAGUGUAGCGGUGAAAUGCGUAGAUAUUAGGGGGAACAUCAGUGGCGAAGGCGGCUUACUGGGCUUUAACUGACGCUGAGGCUCGAAAGCGUGGGGAGCAAACAGGAUUAGAUACCCUGGUAGUCCACGCCGUAAACGAUGAUUACUAGGUGUGGGGGGACUGACCCCUUCCGUGCCGCAGCAAACGCAAUAAGUAAUCCACCUGGGGAGUACGACCGCAAGGUUGAAACUCAAAGGAAUUGACGGGGGCCCGCACAAGCAGUGGAGUAUGUGGAUUAAUUCGAAGCAACGCGAAGAACCUUACCAGGUCUUGACAUCGUAUGCAUAGCUCAGAGAUGAGUGAAAUCUCUUCGGAGACAUAUAGACAGGUGGUGCAUGGUUGUCGUCAGCUCGUGUCGUGAGAUGUUGGGUUAAGUCCCGCAACGAGCGCAACCCUUACUGUUAGUUGCUACGCAAGAGCACUCUAGCAGGACUGCCGUUGACAAAACGGAGGAAGGUGGGGAUGACGUCAAAUCAUCAUGCCCCUUAUGACCUGGGCCUCACACGUACUACAAUGGCUGUCAACAGAGGGAAGCAAAGCCGCGAGGUGGAGCAAACCCCUAAAAGCAGUCUUAGUUCGGAUUGUAGGCUGCAACCCGCCUACAUGAAGUCGGAAUUGCUAGUAAUCGCAGAUCAGCAUGCUGCGGUGAAUACGUUCCCGGGCCUUGUACACACCGCCCGUCACGCCAUGGGAGUCGGUAACACCCGAAGCCUGUAGUCUAACCGCAAGGAGGACGCAGUCGAAGGUGGGAUUGAUGACUGGGGUG